AAAAAGACAAACCCUGGUUUCCGUGUCUAACGUUUGACCGUCCGUCUUAUUUGAAAAAAUUAUGAAAAAAAUUAAAAAUAUAAGUCACGCAUAAAGUAUUAAUCAUGUUUUAUCAUCUAACAACAAUAAAAAUAUUAAUUAUAAAAAAAUUUCAUAUAAGACGGACAGUCAAACGUUGGCACGGGAACCCAUGGUUUGCCUUUUU
rnacentral:pre_miRNA from 1 species